rnacentral:rRNA from 1 species
GACGAACGCUGGCGGCGUGCCUAAUACAUGCAAGUAGAACGCUGAAGAGAGGAGCUUGCUCUUCUUGAAUGAGUUGCGAACGGGUGAGUAACGCGUAGGUAACCUGCCUUGUAGCGGGGGAUAACUAUUGGAAACGAUAGCUAAUACCGCAUAACAAUGGAUGACACAUGUCAUUUAUUUGAAAGGGGCAAUUGCUCCACUACAAGAUGGACCUGCGUUGUAUUAGCUAGUAGGUGAGGUAAUGGCUCACCUAGGCGACGAUACAUAGCCGACCUGAGAGGGUGAUCGGCCACACUGGGACUGAGACACGGCCCAGACUCCUACGGGAGGCAGCAGUAGGGAAUCUUCGGCAAUGGGGGCAACCCUGACCGAGCAACGCCGCGUGAGUGAAGAAGGUUUUCGGAUCGUAAAGGUCUGUUGUAAGUCAAGAACGGGUGUGAGAGUGGAAAGUUCACACUGUGACGGUAGCUUACCAGAAAGGGACGGCUAACUACGUG